rnacentral:lncRNA from 1 species
GGAGACUAUAUUAUCUUAGAUGAAUAGUACAAAUUGGGGAAGCUUACCCAAUAGGCAUUUAUUUCUCAGAGCUCUAGCAAGUAGAUUGCAUUACUGAGGCACUGACAAAUUUUAUUUGGCCUCUUCCUGGCUUGAUUUUUGUGUUGACUUGUCUCUCUGCAUGUGUAUGUAUACAGAGAGAAAGAAAGAGUUAUAGAAGAAAGAAGAGGAGAAAGAGGAGGAGGGAAGGAGGAGAGAAAAGAAGUUGUGCUUAGGAACUCUGAGGUUCAAUGUGUGCUACCCAUAGAUUCAUGAGUGUGUGCUACCAAUGUGGUUGUGACAGCAUGAACAAGACCUGUGCAGGCUUAAUUCUAGAGUCUACUUUCAACACAUUUAAACAUCUCAGGAAGAGGACAAGAGGACUUCUGGAGUGGACUAUGGUGCACUCCUUCAAAUAUACUGCAGAGAGGCAUGAAAGAAUGGGCUAAGGCCCCACCCAACACUGCUUUGGAGGAAGCGAGAAGCUGUUCCAAUCCAGCAGCUGAUAUUUACACCUCUGAAUAAUGUGUGAAGGCAAGUGUGGAACCAGUAGCAGAUGACUCCAGAGAAAUCAGGAAAUGAGGCCUUUGACAAAGAUGCAGGCUAUUUAUGUGAAACUGGGUAACUGCUAAAAAUACAUCCACGGUACCAAAUGCUCAUUUCAGAUACAAGAACUGUACAAAGAACAGAGUCAUUUUCAUCCAUCUCCACCUAGGCUGCUGGCCUAGGUAUUUAUCAUCUUCAGUAAACAUCACAAUUUCCCAGACCAGAAAUGGCAGGCAAAUCUAGUCCCAGCUCCUGAGUGUAGACUUCACCUUAAGUGGAUGGAAAAAAGAGAAAACAAAGAAUAAUGUUCAUUUCCAGUUUGAUGCUUUAUGAUGCUGGGAGUUCAUUCGGGUGACUAAUAGCACAGAGGGCAGGUGGAACUCCAGUUUGCAGGAGUCGUGCCUAAAAUUGAUUGUAGAAGGGACAUGAUACACACUAGGUGAGAGAUUUCAUGCAACCAAACAAUUCGACUGGACUUUUCAUAUUUAAAUUCAUCUACACAGAAAAGACUAACCAAUGCUACAAGUUGUAGAAAAAGCAUGCUUGAUUGAGACAAAUGGUCUGCUCCUAAUUGAGAUGAUGUUUUUCAAGACAAUUCAGGAAAUACCUGAAUUAUAAAUACUUGUCAAACUUUAUAUAUACAGUUUCCCUACACACAUAUACAAGCACAUUUUAUGAUAAGAUAUAACAUAAAUCAAUCACAGAAAGAGAUUAACAACAAAAACUGACAAUAAAAGAACAAUUACAACAAUCGAGAUUGAGCCCUCAGUUAUAACAAUAAAAUAGAAUAUUGUCAUCAAUCAAACAUUGCCUCUCUUACUUUUGAGGUCAUUGUAAGUAAAAUAAGGAUUAAUCAAAUACAAACACUGAAAUACCACGGUUUAUCCAAUACAGAUGGGACUUCCGAGCAGCAAACAGGUAGUAUAUGCAGUUUGAAACAAUGGCCAAAGGAAUGGCUUAUGUUCAAAUAGAGCAGCGGUAGGUUUCAUCAUGGACCAACAGUGCUCACUCAAGGCAUCCAGGACACAAGAAAGGGGUUUUGUCCCUCAAUAGUUUAGGUUAUAUGUAAGAAAAAUAGACAUCUGAAGGAGUACCGUCAAUAAAGCCAGCCAUUAACAUUUAGAGUGAUUUUAGCCAUACUUAGCAGCUUUUAAUAGGACUUACCUGAUGCUCUCAAUUCUGUUUGUUUGUGUGUGUGUGAGAGAGAGAGGGGGGGGGAGGCGGGAGAGGAGGGGAAGAGAGAGAAAGAAAGAAAGAGAGAGAGAGAGAGAGAGAGAGAGAGAGAUCUGGACAGUAAAAUAUGGGAAAUUGAAGCUGUAUUCUGCCCUCAGAUAGCCUGACAUAGCAACUGAGUGCCUUCUGCACAGGAACCCUUCUCCACACUGUACAUUGCCUUCCAUUUGUAGCUCUGUUGCUGGAUCCUGAGUUGGGAGCAGAGAGAAGGGGCAAAGCCUGGCAGCUCAAAGUUCUACACUCGUAUCCCCAAAGAUCCAGAACUGUGGAAGAGCAGGGGCUUCUCAUUACCCACCUAACAGCAGGAAAACCUCAGGGGAGGACUAUAGUUGACCCAGCUAAGGCACAUGUCUACCCAGUGGGCCAUCUGCUCAAAGGCAUAGAACUGUAGCUGUCCAGUGGAGGCAGCAGGCUCUUGCCACAGCAGGUGGAGUAGUACUCACGUGUGUGCUGGAGAGACUUGAGACUCAGUAGGAAGAAACUGGACAGAGUAUUGUUCACAUCUGACCUCAGUGUAGAAAUGGAAUUGGGGCUUAUAAUAAAGUAAAAGCUAUGAUAAUUGUAUGCUUGAAGAUAUUGAUAAAAGUAGAUUGUCAUUAGAAUGAAUCUACCCACUUCAGGAUAGAGAUAACAAAGAGUUAAUAUCUUAUGUAGACAUACUUUUUUUUUUUUUUUUUUUUUUUUUUUUGGGCCAGGGCAGUGGCAGGGGUUGGGGAUUUUUACUUAAGGGAAUGAUUUUUUUUUUUUUUUUUUUUUUUUUUUUUGGCAUGGUGCAAAAUGUUUACUCGGGCACACUGAAUAUUUUGUGAAAGAAAAUAAGAAUAAGCUUCAUAGUGUUAUUAUAGGAAGACAAAAAUAUACAAACAAACACCCCAACAAAACAAAACCACAGAGAUAUAGUGAAGUGUCAAGACCACUUACUGAGCCUGUG